rnacentral:rRNA from 1 species
GAAAUUUUUAAACGGCCGCGGUAUCCUAACCGUGCAAAGGUAGCGUAAUCACUUGUCUUUUAAAUAAAGACUCGUAUGAAAGGCUAAAUGAGAACAAACCUGUCUCUUGUAGUUGACCAGUGAAACUGAUCUCCAAGUACAAAAGCUUGGAUACAUACAUAAGACGAGAAGACCCUGUGGAGCUUUAAACCAACCCUAUUAACCAAUAAUAGAACAGGUUUUAAGUUGGGGCGACUUCGGAAUAAAACAAAACUUCCGAGCACAGAGACAACCCCCUCACACCUAGACCCACAGGUCAAAGAGCACACCGACCCAGUAUUACUGAGCAACGAACCAAGUUACCCCAGGGAUAACAGCGCCAUCUUCUUCAAGAGGCCCUAUCGACAAGAAGGUUUACGACCUCGAUGUUGGAUCAGGACACCCAAAUGGUGCAGCAACUAUUAAAGGUUCGUUUGUUCAACGAUUAACAGUCCUACGUGAUCUGAGUUC